ACGGCUCAGUAACACGUGGCUAACCUAGCCUUGGGACAGGGACAACCCCGGGAAACUGGGGCUAAUCCCUGAUGGGUGAGGAGGCCUGGAAUGGUUCCUCGCUGAAAGGACACUGAAACCAUGCUUUUCAGCGUUGCCCAAGGAUGGGGCCGCGGCCGAUCAGGUUGUUGGUGGGGUAACGGCUCACCAAGCCUUUGACCGGUACGGGCCGUGAGAGCGGGAGCCCGGAGAUGGGCACUGAGACAAGGGCCCAGGCCCUACGGGGCGCAGCAGGCGCGAAAACUCCGCAAUGUGCGAAAGCGUGACGGGGCUAUCCCGAGUGCCGUCCGCUGAGGAUGGCUUUUCCACGGUGUAAGGAGCCGUGGGAAUAAGGAGAGGGCAAGACUGGUGCCAGCAGCCGCGGUAAUACCAGCCCCCUGAGUGAUAGGGACGAUUAUUUAGCCUAAAGCGUUCGUAGCCGGUCAAGCAAGUCUUUCGUUAAAUCUGACGACUCAAUCGUCAGACCGCGGAAGAUACUACUAGACUAGAGGGCGGGAGAGGUUGACGGUAUUCCUGGGGUAGGGGUGAAAUCCUAUAAUCCUAGGAGGACCACCAGUGGCGAAGGCGGUCGACCAGAACGCGCCUGACGGUGAGGGACGAAAGCUGGGGGAGCGAACCGGAUUAGACACCCGGGUAGUCCCAGCUGUAAACGAUGCGGGCUGGGUGUUGGGGCAGCUACGAGUUGCCUCAGUGCCGCAGAGAAGUUGUUAAGCCCGCCGCUUGGGAAGUACGGCCGCAAGGCUGAACUUAAAGGAAUUGGCGGGGGAGCACCACAGGGUGAAGCCUGCGUUCAUUGGAGUCACGCCGGA
rnacentral:rRNA from 1 species